rnacentral:ncRNA from 1 species
ACGAGCCGUAUGAUUAGAAAUAGUCACGUACGGUUCUUGGGGGAGGGAGAUGCGGUGACGUAUGCUCUCUUACCCGCC